AGAGGCCCCAAGCGUUAUCCGGGAUUUACUGGGGCGUAAAGCGUCCGCAGGCGGUUAUGAUAGUCUUGUGUUAAAUUUCGGGAGCUCAACUUCGAAACUGCGCAGGAAACGUUAUAACUAGAGGGCAUGAGAGGCAAAUGGAACUCAUGGUGUAAGAGUGGAAUCUGUUGAUAUCAUGAGGAACACCAAAGGCGAAGGCAAUUUGCUAGCGUGACCCUGACGCUCAUGGACGAAAGUGUGGGUAGCGAACGGGAUUAGAUACCCCGGUAGUCCACACCGUAAACGAUGGAUACUAGCUGUGUGUAGUGUCGACCCUACACGUGGCGAAGCUAACGCGUUAAGUAUCCCGCCUGGGUAGUACGGCCGCAAGGCUA
rnacentral:rRNA from 1 species